rnacentral:rRNA from 1 species
GAAGAGGGUAACGUCCUCCCUAGCCUACGACGGGUACGGGCGUUGAGAGACGUCGCCCGGAGAUGAACUCUGAGACACGAGUUCAGGCCCUACGAGGCGCAGCAGGCGCGAAAACUGCACAAUGCUGGAAACAGCGAUGCGGGGAUUCCAAGUGCCGGCACUAAGUGCCGGCUGUUCCAUUGUCUAAAAAACAUAGGAAGUAAGGGCUGGGUAAGACGGGUGCCAGCCGCCGCGGUAAUACCUGCAGCCCGAGUGGUGGCCGUUAUUAUUGGGCCUAAAACGUCCGUAGCCGGCUGAGUAGAUGCCUGUGUAAAUCGAACGGCUUAACCGUUCGAAGUGCGGGUAGACCGCUCAGCUUGGGACCGGGAGAGUCACGAAGUACUCCGGGGGUAGAGGUGAAAUUCUGUAAUCCUCGGGGGACUACCGGUGGCGAAGGCGUCGUGAUAGAACGGCUCCGACGGUGAGGGACGAAGCCCUGGGGCGCAAACCGGAUUAGAUACCCGGGUAGUCCAGGGUGUAAACGCUGCGGUCUUGGUGUCGGGAGUCCUACGCGGGCACCCGGUGCCGGAGAGAAGUUGUUAAGACCGCUGCCUGGGGAAU